AUGGAGAACUUUUUCCUCCCCAAAAGGGGAAACUUGAGAGCUGAUGGGACUGUUGGAAAAGAUCCCUUUACUACCGACAAGUGGCCGCCUGAAUUUAGCAGUGUCACUGCAAAGGAUGGAUCUUUCUCUCACCUCUACACCAAGGGGAAGGUGAAGGUUGGAGUCGACGGAUUUGGUUGUAUUGGGCGCCUGGUCACCAGGGCUGCUUUUAACUCUGGUAAAGUGGAUAUUGUCACCAUCAAUGAUCCCUUCAUUGACCUCAACUACAUGGUCUACAUGUUCCAGUAUGAUUCCACCCAUGGCAAAUUCCAUGGCACUGUCAAGGCUGAGAACGGGAAGCUUGUCAUCAAUGGAAAUCCCAUCACCAUCUUCCAGGAGUGAGAUCCCUCCAAAAUCAAGUGGGGCAAUGCUGGCGCUGAGUACGUGGUGGAGUCCACUGGCAUCUUCACCACCAUGUAGAAGGCUGGGACUCACUUGCAGGGGGGAGCCAAAAGGGUCAUCAUAUCUGCCCCCUCUGCUGAUACCCCCAUGUUUGUGAUGGGCGUGAACCAUGAGAAGUAUGACAACAGCCUCAGGAUCGUCAGCAAUGCCUCCUGCACCACCAACUGA